UACGAAGGGGGCUAGUGUUGCUCGGAAUCACUGGGCGUAAAGGGUGCGUAGGCGGGUCUUUAAGUCAGGGGUGAAAUCCUGGAGCUCAACUCCAGAACUGCCUUUGAUACUGGGGAUCUUGAGUUCGGGAGAGGUGAGUGGAACUGCGAGUGUAGAGGUGAAAUUCGUAGAUAUUCGCAAGAACACCAGUGGCGAAGGCGGCUCACUGGCCCGAUACUGACGCUGAGGCACGAAAGCGUGGGGAGCAAACAGGG
rnacentral:rRNA from 1 species